GGUCUCGUGGCCUAAUGCAUAAGGCGUUGGUCUUCAGAACCAAAGAUUGUGGGUUCGAGUCCCACCGA
rfam:Perkinsus marinus ATCC 50983 gcontig_1104296734700, whole genome shotgun sequence.